UAGAUGCGAGAGUAGAGCAUAUCAAUAAGCGGAGGAAAAGAAACUAACAAGGAUUCCCUUAGUAACGGCGAGUGAAGCGGGAAGAGCUCAAAUUUGAAAUCUUCAAGGUUCUACCUUGACGAAUUGUAGUUUAAAGAAGUGUUUUCUGUUAGAUGAGUAGCAAAAGUUCCUUGGAAUGGGACAUCAUAGAGGGUGAGAAUCCCGUAUUUGGUUAUUCAUUCUAGCUUUGUGAUACACUUUCAAAGAGUCGGAUUGUUUGGGAAUGCAGUCCAAAAUGGGUGGUAAAUUUCAUCUAAAGCUAAAUAUUGGCGAGAGACCGAUAGCGAACAAGUACCGUGAGGGAAAGAUGAAAAGAACUUUGAAAAGAGAGUUAAACAGUACGUGAAAUUGUCAAAAGGGAAGCGUUUGACACCAGUGUCGUUUUUCCGAAAAUCAAUUACGAAUGGCUUGAUUUUGUGUUGUAUUGACCUUAUCAGCUUUCUGCACUUUUUUUCGAGUCUUUCUUAAUGCACUUUUCGGUUAACAAGUCAACAUCAAUUUCUUUUGUUGUAAAAGAGUAUUCGGAAGGUGGCUUUCUUUUCGGAGAAAGUGUUUAUAGCCCUAUACUUCUACAAUCGGAGAGAUUGAGGUCUGCAGCGUAGAUCCUUCGGGGUUAGAUACACUUGUGCUAAGUUGUAGCUUUUCAUAGACAACUUGUUGACUAUGUUUAGUCAUGCGGCUUACUCGCUUAUGCUAUUUUACCUACGCUUAGGAUGUUGAGCGCAUGUCUCUCUCU
rnacentral:rRNA from 1 species